rfam:Schistosoma rodhaini strain Burundi genome assembly, scaffold: SROB_scaffold0011072
AUCCAGCUGACGAGUCCGAAACAGGAUGAAAAGCGCAUCAAACUGGAU